UACUGCCUCACAUUUUCUUUUUCUCUUUUAGUAUACACUCAUGCUCAUCCUUUCCUCUAUCUCCCUCCACUCUCUUCUUCUUUCUUAAACCCUUACUCUCCCUCAAGAAAUUCACCCACCACAACAAGACCACCCAGCUGCACCGCCGCCGCCAACCGCCAGCCGUGCGCCUGCUGUCCCACCACCUCUCCUCUCUUCUCCAUUUUUGUGCCCGGUUCAUAAGAGGGGCGUAAGAACCUCUUUUGAAGUGAUUUUACGACUUGUCAUCUUGUAGUUGCAGCGGGGACAUCAUAGAUAGACAUUACAGGUGAUGAAGCUUCUAUGCAUUGCAUACGGGGGGAAUGAGUGAGAGUCUUGAAGUGUGCAAUAAUCUUAUUGUUUUGACUUUACCUGUAGUAAUUUUUCAUUCAAGUUGUUUAUGUUUUGAGUUUGAGGCACAUGUCCUCCUUUUUGUAUAAGUUAUCUCCGCUGCGUUGUAAUUUUGGUUUGUAUGUUUUAAAUAGUUAUUGUUCUUUUUCUUUCUUCAAACUCAAGCGUUUACUUUGGAACCACUAUCCAUGCUUAUCAUAUCGACAGAGGAUUAGGUGAUGAACAUUCCGCCGUGAUAUUUUGUUACAAGGCCGAUGUUGCCUCUUCUUAAUUAUGUUUUAAUGCCUGUUUAUUUCUUUUGGUGCGUCUAAUUUCAAGGUAGAUGUUUCCGAAAUUUCCGCACGAUUUUAUUUGAAAGUUUUUCUAUAAUCCCUUUAGUUCAAUCAAUCAAAAGUAACCUUUUCUUUUCUUUUUCUUUAUUUCCUUUUUUAUAUUUUAUUUUUAAUGUAACACCCGAAUUUCCUCCGUUUCCUUGCGGUUUUGGUUCCGUUUAAAGGGCGAAAAUUCAAGGGUGUUACACCCUCUCACAUUUUCCUUCAUCUUCCUCUUGUUCUCUUCUUCUUCUUAACCUCCCUUCCUCACAAACACCAACCGUCUGCAGCCGCCAGGCACAGCAACUACCAGAACCCUACCCAAGAAGUCGGCCACUCUUCACCACAUUCUACGGGCGGCAGGCCACGGCAUCCUGUCCACACGCCUCUUUUCUCCUUUCUUUCCCUUAUUUUCUGUGCGCUUCUCUUUUUCCUUUCUAAAUUGUAAAAAGUUGUUAAAUUCAUGAAUGUUAUUAUUAAUUUGAGUUAUAAUUAUUGAAUCUAAUAAAAUUAGUAAUGGGUAAAUAUUAGAAGUGUGAAUUGAACAUGAAUAAUUCAGGGUUUGGAUUGGGAUUCGAAAAAGGAUAAUAGUGUAUUCAAGAUGUGUUUUAAUAGUGCUAAAAUAUAUAGACAACUUUGUUGAUGAUGUUAUUGAAGUUUAGAUUUGGUCUUUACUAUUGGAAGUGUUGAUGGAUGAAUUUUUAGUAAUAUUUGGGCACUAUUAAUAUCAAAUUUGUUAUGAGUAAGAGUAGUAAUGGUGAAUUAAACAAAGAUGGACUUGAAAUUAUAUUAGAAAUGAAAAUAAUAGUAGUAUGUACUAAUCUUGGUGUCUUGGUGGUAUUUAGGGUUAGGAAAGCUUUGUUAGCCAUUCUUCUUCCUUUUAUUUUCCUUAUAGUCUUAUGUUAAAAUGUUGUCUUACUUUGUUAAAUGAUUUGUUGAAUUGAUGUUAAAUGAGUAAACGUUAAAAGUGUUUCAUUUGAGUAAAUAGUGGCUUAAAAGCAUUAUUCGUAGCAAAUCAUGAUGUUAAAGUUGAUUAGAGUUGUUAUUGAUAAAUUUUAGUUGGCUGUUGUCGUUGUUGAAAUUUCAAAUACUAUUAUGAUUCUUAGAAUGAUGAUUCUUAAUUCUACUUAUGUUCUUACAAUAUAUAUAUAAUAACACUAAAUAACGUGAAUCGUAACAAUAUUUCAAUUAGGAUUGUUUAGAAAAUUGGUUGGUCUAAAUAGGGCUUUUUAGUCUCGAACUAUACACUAUUUUAGAAUUGAGCUUUAGUAUGCGUGAUGAGUGCAUGAAUGUGUUAAAUAUGUGUUAAGACUUGUGAAUGAUUUAAAAGUUAAUUUUUGUAGUAUUAAGAAGCUUUUAAUGAGAUUAGUACACUUAUAAGACCUAUUUUAAAUUUAGUAGGCGCUCACUUCUUAAGAGGUUAUAAAACCCUGUAUUGGUGAUUGUUUAGACAUUUUGCAGAGUGCUAGUAGCUUCAAGUACGUACAUGCAGUAGCUAACUCUUGCAUGCAUCUUGAAUAUGUUUUUAUUGAGUAACAAUAUUAUAUGAGUUAUGUUGACUAUAUUAUGCUAUUAAGCAUUAUUAUUUUGCUAUUUUUAAGUGUGGAUUGGUAUGUAAAAAUGGUAGAGAAUGAGUUUUGAUGUUGUAAGAGUAGAAUGUUAGACUAUAUGAGAUAGAAUGGGAAUGAUUCCCUGAUUAAUAAGUUGUUAUUUAUGUUUUAUGAAUGGGAAUGAGUUCCUUAUUGAUAGAGUAGUGAAAUUGGUUAGCUGUAAUGGGAAUGAGUCCCUUAUUGAUGAGAUAUCAAGUUAGUUGUUUAUUAUGACGCCACUGGAUUGGUACACUAGUUGGUUUAGUUUUCGAAGGCAUGGAUUAUCUGUAUAUGGUCUCUGUAUGGGGUAUGUUCAUACUUUGCCAUUGGGCUCCGACAUGGCCAUCAUCGCCCUUGGUUGAGGUGUUGCCAUAUGGGUCUUGCAAACCUCAAUAUGAUGGUCCCUUGUCAUAUAAGAGAAUACAAGAAAUCAAAGAAGAGAAGAAAAUAGUGAAAUCAUUAAGAAGUACACUGAAAUGAGAAGUGGUUGAGUUCAUACUUACAUAUUGAAAUGUCUCCUUUAUCUUGUGAUUUUUAUAUCGAUGUUGAUUGUUGGUUAUAUAGAUAACAUGUUGUUAGUUACUAACAUCAACUAUUUGUUUUCAUUGUUGAUGGCUCGUAUUUGAUAGCCUUGCUAUGACACGUUGGUUUAUGAUCUUACAUUGAGCAGCGGGGAUAUCAUAGAUAGACCUUAUAGGUGAUGGAGCUUAUUUGGAUUCUAUCCGAGGGAAAAUGAAUGAAUCUUUUGUUGGCAAAGGAUAUAAAAAGAAGAUAAUAAGUUAUCAUGCAAAAAUGAGACAUGGGAUAAUGAUGAGACUAGAAUAUAGACUAACUUUGGUCAGAGAAUUGACACCGAAAGAGGAGGCUGA